UUCAGUAGCAGCUCAUGUUUCCACCAGUGUUUCUGCGGAAUGUCAUGUAAAGGUUAAACUACAGUGUGUGUGUAUUAUAAUAAAAUACUGAGUGAUUGGCUGGUGUGACCAAGUGGAGUUACCACCACGAAGUUGAUUAUUUUUCUAACAAGUGUUUUAUCCCUCUUAUUUACCAAUAUUACAGAACGGCUCUUCACUUUUUAUCCCUUUAUAGUUACAUUUGCAUGUUGUUGAACGUCCCCUGUGCUCUUUGUGUUUCUUCCCCCUGCACUUCAGUGUUAUGGUUCAGUUAAGCUCAAGGGGGGUGAAUACUUAUGCAACACACUGUAUGUUUGUGUGUUAUAGAUGGCGUGUGUGUUUGAUGUGUAACUCCACUGAAUCGACACACAGCUGGAGUCUGACUCGUGGUAACGUCUCUCCGUGUGUCUCACUCCAUUAUUCUCUCUUCAUCAUCACCUUCAUCCCUGAAGGUGGAUGGCUGGAUCCUGAGGGUUCUGAUGUGUCCUUCCUGUUAGAGGCAGGGCAGAGCGGGGCGUGGCUCUCACCCGGGACUCAUCACCCUGAGGGUCAUGACCCCGGACACACUGAUAUUCAGCUUUACCAUCACAGACCAGUGUCACGCUCACAGCACACACAGCCUGGAGCAUUAUAGUGAAGCUGAAGGAACACGAGGAAUUUUUUCCUGCCUUUAACUCUCUGGUCCCCGAAGCUCCUAAACACUCUGGUUCCUCCUCCGAGUCGUGGCAGCACACGCCGUUUACCCGACACCUCUCCCAAAUCACCCCAUCUCCAGUUACCCUCCCGACGACAGGGGCGACUUUGGAUCAGGCCCCGCCCCUCGAUUCUCAGCACGCUCUCAGCUGAGUGUAAUGACCACGCGGAGGCAGAGCCAAACCCACAAAGGCAGAACGGUGAGCUGUGGGGGCGUGGCAUGUUUCCCAGGUGCGCAGUGUGUUGGAGGGGAAAUGUUGACGUGUGGCAGGGUUAUGUCAGACAUGCAGAGACACAGGUGUGCCAAGGACAUGGAGUGUGUAGUGCCCAACACCUGCCGCUGUAAACCAGGAUACACAGUGGUGUGUGAGCGUCAGUGUCACGACGGCGCCAGGUGGCAGGUGUGUGUCCCCUGACCAGUGUGAGUUUCAGCAAGGCUGGACAGGACCGUGGUGUGAGACAGGUCGGUUUGUGUGUGUGUGUGUGUGUGUGUGUGUGUGUGUGUGAGAGAGAGAGACACUUCUUUGAUAGAGCACUUCCUCGUGUGUUAGCCCGUUAGCCCGUUAGCGGAGUGUGAAACGAACGCUGUACGUGUAAAUGCGAACCUCGAAGCUGUGCGUUUAUUUCGUGGUCGUCGUGUAACGUGAGCCUCGGCGCUGACCCGAGUGAGAAGGACGCGGUCUCGGUGCGCUGGUCCGAGUUUAACACGGCCCUCGUCGGGCGCGUCUCCGCCCUCGUGUCCUUGUGAGGUCGUUUUACAAGCGAACUCCUGGAGAACAUUAUUCACAGGAACACAGGAACAUUCCUCAUGAACAGCCAGAGACACAGAGAGAGACGGAUGUGUGCGCUCCCUCAUUUAUCUCUCCUCCUGAUGGGCAGAUUAAUGAGAGCAAUAAGGGAUAAAUCCAGCCAAAUGUGAUGGAUAGAACAGAGAGAGAGAGAGAGAGAGAGAGAGAGAGAGAGAG